CCUACGGGAGGCAGCAGUGAGGAAUAUUGGUCAAUGGACGAGAGUCUGAACCAGCCAAGUAGCGUGAAGGAUGACUGCCCUAUGGGUUGUAAACUUCUUUUAUACAGGAAUAAAACGAGGCACGUGUGCCUUUUUGCAUGUACUUUAUGAAUAAGGAUCGGCUAACUCCGUGCCAGCAGCCGCGGUAAUACGGAGGAUCCGAGCGUUAUCCGGAUUUAUUGGGUUUAAAGGGAGCGUAGAUGGGUUGUUAAGUCAGUGGUGAAAGUUUGCGGCUCAACCGUAAAAUUGCAAUUGAUACUGGCAGUCUAGAGUACAGUUGAGGUAGGCGGAAUGCGUGGUGUAGCGGUGAAAUGCUUAGAUAUCACGAAGAACCCCGAUUGCGAAGGCAGCUUACUAAACUGUGACUGACAUUGAUGCUCGAAAGUGUGGGUAUCAAACAGGAUUAGAUACCCGGGUAGUC
rnacentral:rRNA from 1 species